rnacentral:lncRNA from 1 species
GAACAAUCAGCAACUAUUGACUUUGGAGGAUGCUAAGAGACACUAUAAAUAUAACAUUCUGUACCAUUUUCUUGAAAUCCAUCAUCAGAUUCUAAGUUUCCUGCUUCCUCUGGCUGUUCUGGCUAUAAAAGGGCCCCUCCUGUGCAGAGGUUGACAGGAGGAGGUAGAGAAGGAGAACUUGGAUCCCUGCUGAAACUCCUCAGAGAGAUCCAGGAAGGAAGAUGCUUAAGAUUUGGAGGCUUGUUCUCUUCUGUGGACUGCUCACACAGAGCUCAGCCUACCCCAAAAGACACAAGCCGAUCCUGACUCACCCACACCCAAAAGUGUCUGUUCAAGCAGAAGCAUCAGCACGGGCAAGCUUACUCUUAAAAACAGCGACCAGUUUACACAGCCAACUGUUGAGCACAAAUACUCCAAGAAAUCUUAAGAAACUCUCCUUCAUGAAGGCUGUGCAUGCUUUUCAAGAUGGAUUGCUUGGAAAUUUGCAUGCAGGAGUGGAUGCCAAGCUUUUUGUUCGUGAGUUUUCUUCGAUUAAAGUUAUAGAGGCCCAGAUCUUUGAUAUUAACAUCACACAAAGUGAAGACAGACAUCAGCUAUUAGCAACAUUCCCUACAACCUUGGAUAUGGAAGCAAAUAUAAAGUUUCUUGGAAAUAUUGGCUUCAUAAUAGAAGUGAACAACAAAUUUCAAAUUGGAAUAGAGAUGGAUGAAAAUGAAGAUGGUUACCUGGUCAUUCAGAAUUGUAAUACUGACUUUGUCAGUUCACAAGUCAAAACCCAUAGUAGGGUACUCAAUUCUCUCCUAGAUGGAUUUACAAGCGUUCUGAAUGCUGUGGUCCCCGAGCUGGUAGAGGAAGCACUCUGCUCAGCUGUCAGCACAUGCUUACCGAAGUUAGGUGUUAAACUGAAAACAGCUCUUGUGGAUGCAUUAAUAUGUGGAUAUGAUCUUAGUGUUAAUUAAUGAACCUUCCAGAAAGCAAACCAACUUUUUUCCAAACAGGACUUCAAAGCCAGAGAAAAAUUGCUGCAUUUGGUGUCAGAAGAGAUGAAAUGUUUUGCAUCUGCCAGGGUCCAUCAAGUUCUUUUCCCUUGGAUUAGGAGCCAUUUUCCUUGCAUGAAUAUUCUCUCUGGGAAAUGUGUUCCUUCCCACUGAUUUCUCUUACAAUAAAUUUCCAUUGUCUAAGCA